UCCCUGGGAGAUCCUUUGGAGGCCU
rnacentral:piRNA from 1 species